CCACACGUAUCCAUCCCGAACACGACCGUUAAGCCCUCUAGCGCCGAUGGUACUUGGACCGCAGGGUCCUGGGAGAGUAGGACGCCGCCAAGC
rnacentral:rRNA from 1 species